GAUGAACGCUAGCGGCAGGCUUAACACAUGCAAGUCGAGGGGUAUAUAGGAGCUUGCUUUUAUAGAGACCGGCAAACGGGUGCGGAACACGUACGCAAUCUGCCCUUAUCUUGGGGAUAGCCCAUAGAAAUGUGGAUUAAUACCCAAUAGUAUAUUUGGAUGGCAUCAUUUAAAUAUUAAAGAACUUCGGAUAAGGAUGAGCGUGCGUAAGAUUAGCUAGAUGGUGAGGUAACGGCUCACCAUGGCAACGAUCUUUAGCUGAUGUGAGAGCAUGGUCAGCCACACGGGCACUGAGACACGGGCCCGACUCCUACGGGAGGCAGCAGUGAGGAAUAUUGGUCAGUGGACGCAAGUCUGAACCAGCCAUGCCGCGUGAAGGAUGAAGGCCUUCUGGGUUGUAAACUUCUUUUAUGUGGGAAGAAACCUCUGAUUUCUAUUAGAGUUGACGGUACCAUAGGAAUAAGCACCGGCUAAUUCCGUGCCAGCAGCCGCGGUAAGAC
rnacentral:rRNA from 1 species